GCUGGGCUCAGUGGUGCGUGACUGUAGUCCCAGCUACUGGGGAGGCUGAGGUGGGAGGAUCGCUUGAGCCCAGGAGUUCUGGGCUGCAGUGCGCUAUGCCAGUUGGGUGUCCACAGUAAGUUUGGCAUCAAUAUGGUGACCUCCUGGGAGUGGGGGACCACCAGGUUGCCUAAGGAGGGGUGAACCAGCCCAGGUUGGAAACGGAGCAGGUGAAAACUCCCAUGUUGAUCAGCAGUGGGAUCGCGCCUGCGAAUAGCCGCUGCACUCCAGCCUGGGCAUCAUAGGAGACCCCGUCUCU
rnacentral:SRP_RNA from 1 species